rnacentral:tRNA from 1 species
UAAAAAUUUAAGUAAUAGGGUAUCUAAUCCUGUUCCCACUAUGUAAAUAAACAUAUUAUUAG